rnacentral:rRNA from 3 species
UUUAAUGAGAGUUUGAUCCUGGCUCAGGACGAACGCUGGCGGCGUGCCUAAUACAUGCAAGUAGAACGCUGAAGAGAGGAGCUUGCUCUUCUUGGAUGAGUUGCGAACGGGUGAGUAACGCGUAGGUAACCUGCCUUGUAGCGGGGGAUAACUAUUGGAAACGAUAGCUAAUACCGCAUAACAAUGGAUGACCCAUGUCAUUUAUUUGAAAGGGGCAAAUGCUCCACUACAAGAUGGACCUGCGUUGUAUUAGCUAGUAGGUGAGGUAACGGCUCACCUAGGCGACGAUACAUAGCCGACCUGAGAGGGUGAUCGGCCACACUGGGACUGAGACACGGCCCAGACUCCUACGGGAGGCAGCAGUAGGGAAUCUUCGGCAAUGGGGGCAACCCUGACCGAGCAACGCCGCGUGAGUGAAGAAGGUUUUCGGAUCGUAAAGCUCUGUUGUAAGUCAAGAACGAGUGUGAGAGUGGAAAGUUCACACUGUGACGGUAGCUUACCAGAAAGGGACGGCUAACUACGUGCCAGCAGCCGCGGUAAUACGUAGGUCCCGAGCGUUGUCCGGAUUUAUUGGGCGUAAAGCGAGCGCAGGCGGUUUGAUAAGUCUGAAGUUAAAGGCUGUGGCUCAACCAUAGUUCGCUUUGGAAACUGUCAAACUUGAGUGCAGAAGGGGAGAGUGGAAUUCCAUGUGUAGCGGUGAAAUGCGUAGAUAUAUGGAGGAACACCGGUGGCGAAAGCGGCUCUCUGGUCUGUAACUGACGCUGAGGCUCGAAAGCGUGGGGAGCGAACAGGAUUAGAUACCCUGGUAGUCCACGCCGUAAACGAUGAGUGCUAGGUGUUGGAUCCUUUCCGGGAUUCAGUGCCGCAGCUAACGCAUUAAGCACUCCGCCUGGGGAGUACGACCGCAAGGUUGAAACUCAAAGGAAUUGACGGGGGCCCGCACAAGCGGUGGAGCAUGUGGUUUAAUUCGAAGCAACGCGAAGAACCUUACCAGGUCUUGACAUCCCGAUGCUAUUUCUAGAGAUAGAAAGUUACUUCGGUACAUCGGUGACAGGUGGUGCAUGGUUGUCGUCAGCUCGUGUCGUGAGAUGUUGGGUUAAGUCCCGCAACGAGCGCAACCCCUAUUGUUAGUUGCCAUCAUUCAGUUGGGCACUCUAGCGAGACUGCCGGUAAUAAACCGGAGGAAGGUGGGGAUGACGUCAAAUCAUCAUGCCCCUUAUGACCUGGGCUACACACGUGCUACAAUGGUUGGUACAACGAGUUGCGAGUCGGUGACGGCAAGCUAAUCUCUUAAAGCCAAUCUCAGUUCGGAUUGUAGGCUGCAACUCGCCUACAUGAAGUCGGAAUCGCUAGUAAUCGCGGAUCAGCACGCCGCGGUGAAUACGUUCCCGGGCCUUGUACACACCGCCCGUCACACCACGAGAGUUUGUAACACCCGAAGUCGGUGAGGUAACCUUUUGGAGCCAGCCGCCUAAGGUGGGAUAGAUGAUUGGGGUGAAGUCGUAACAAGGUAGCCGUAUCGGAAGGUGCGGCUGGAUCACCUCCUUU